AUAGCGUAUAUUAAAGUUGUUGCAGUUAAAAAGCUCGUAGUUGAACCUUGGGCAAGAUGACUCUGGUCGAUCGCAAGAUCGUACUAGAGCGUCGCGCCUCUAUUGGGGGACUUGUCGUUCUGCGGCAAGGUAACCCGUGUUACUGUGAAGAAAUUAGAGUGUUUAAAGCAGGCGAUCGCUUGAAUACAUCAGCAUGGAAUAACAAGAUAUGACUCCGGUCUUUCUUGUUGGUUUGAGGGCUAGAGUAAUGAUUAAUAGGGCCAGUUGGGGGCAUUAGUAUUCAGUAGUCAGAGGUGAAAUUCUUGGAUUUACUGAAGACUAACUAGUG
rnacentral:rRNA from 1 species